rnacentral:rRNA from 1 species
UACGUAGGGUGCAAGCGUUAAUCGGAGUUACUGGGCGUAAAGCGUGCGCAGGCGGUUUUGUAAGACAGAGGUGAAAUCCCCGGGCUCAACCUGGGAACUGCCUUUGUGACUGCAAGGCUUGAGUGCGGCAGAGGGGGAUGGAAUUCCGCGUGUAGCAGUGAAAUGCGUAGAUAUGCGGAGGAACACCGAUGGCGAAGGCAAUCCCCUGGGCCUGCACUGACGCUCAUGCACGAAAGCGUGGGGAGCAAACAGG